rnacentral:lncRNA from 1 species
CAGCAAGGCUAUAGCCCCGCUGCUGUAGGACAUGGCCGAUCCCCAGCCACAGCAGUAUACCCGGCCAUUUUACCUAGUGGUUUCACUUCGAUCCAAGCCAUUCCUGCACAACACAAACAAUAUCAUAGUGCAACUAUAUCACAGUAUUAUGUUAAUCUAUUUGAUAAUUAAUAAACGUAAGCAUGAUUAUAUUUUCUCAAAAUUACUGCAUAAUCGUUAAGAUGUUAUAAAGAAGAAUUAAAUAAAAUGCAAUGCAUGAAUUUGACUAUAUGCUAUAUAUUCCUACUCACAGUUCAUAGAGAAGGUAUAGCCUCAAUGCUAAUCCUUGUUUUGGAAGAGUUGAGAAGAAUCCCGAACAAUCUAGAAGGAGAUUGGUAGAAAUAGAGGACAACUAUUAAUACUAGAAUCAAGCUAAAUAACUUGUUAUUAUUACUUAGACUCGAU